rnacentral:rRNA from 1 species
GUGUCAGCAGCCGCGGUAAUACGUAGGUGGCAAGCGUUAUCCGGAAUUAUUGGGCGUAAAGCGCGCGUAGGCGGUAAAAUAAGUCUGAUGUGAAAGCCCCCGGCUCAACCGGGGAGGGUCAUUGGAAACUGUUUUACUUGAGUACAGAAGAGGAGAGUGGAAUUCCAUGUGUAGCGGUGAAAUGCGCAGAGAUAUGGAGGAACACCAGUGGCGAAGGCGGCUCUCUGGUCUGUUACUGACGCUGAGGUGCGAAAGCGUGGGUAGCAAACAGGAUUAGAAACCCCAGUAGUCC